ACCUCUAGUACCCACGAUACAAUCUCAUACUCUGCUUGGUUUGCAUUUUUGAGCUGUUUCUAUUUUCAGAUAUUCUUGUAUUAUUAUUAUUUAUUCAACUUCUAUACCACCCUUCUAAAAAUGGCUCAGGGCGGUUUACACAAGAGGAAUAACAAAUAAAUAAGUUGGAUCCCUGUUCCAAAGGGCCAAAAUCUAAAAAGAAACACAAGAUAGACACCAGCAACAGUCACUGGAGGUCCUGUGUUAGGGGUGGAUAAGGGUGGAUAAGGCCAGUUACUCUCCCCCUGCUUAAUAAGUGCUUAAUCACCAUGUUAAAGGUGCCUCUUUGCCAAUGUGCCUUCUUCAUUUUGCGGAAGGGGCAAUCCGGUCUGCCUGUGAGGUCAAAGUAAGAGACACAAAUGCAAACGUAUCUUGGGGGACGAUGGGUUCAACUCAACACUUUGCACCGUCAGUGAUCCAGAUACAGCGGUAACAAUUUAAUCAGGAGAGCAGAUCAAGAUCAAGUAUGUUCAUAUUAACACACAUACAAAAAUAAGCAGCAUAUAGCUUUUAGUUCCAGUCAGCUACAAGAGCCUCUCCUGCUUUAAGAGUUCCUUGCGAAAUCUUCCCAAUGAACCUUCCAAAAAAAGUUAUUCUAGAAACUCUUCUUACUUUUUAUUUAUUUGUUUAUCUAUCACUUAUACAAAAGGUCUCUGGGCGGUUCACAAUAUAAGCAUCAUUAAUACAUUAACAUAAUUAAUUGAAAAUACAAUAAAAACUCUUCAAACCAAGACGUAAUCUAUCAACUAAAUCCUGACUACACAGGUAUGUUUUGAGUUCCUUCUCAAAAACUUCCUCGUUUAGCACUUUGGUCCAGGCCAUCAGCUGAUCCAGAUGCCAUCAGUUAACCAUAGGGAGCCACCAGACUAGUAGCCAUCAGUUGACCUGACCUCCAUGAAUUUGUCCAAGCCCCUUUGAAAGCCAUCCAAGCUUGUGGCCAUCACCACAUCCCCUGGCAAAGAAUUCCAUAGAUUCAUGAUGCACUGUUUGAAACAGGACUUCCUUUUGUUGGUUCUUCCUGGCCUUCAGUUUCAUGAUGAUACUCAUCUCUAGAUAUUUGGCCACAGGUCCUCUCUCUAUCCUCCAAGGACCCCUGGCUCUCAUGUUGGCAGAAGGGGAUAAAGGUUUAUCUGGCUACUACUCCAUUCAUUAUUUUCUACAAUGUGUAAGCAGUCAAUAAAGAAAGAGCACACAUAUUUUGUAUGUAUUUCCAUCCUCUGAAGAAGAGACUCUGCACAGCUAGUGAUUCCCUCUUUCAUUACACGCACACGCACCCCAACCCUCAAAGCUAUUUUUAUUUUGCCUUGGUCCAAUCUGAGAAUACUUUGGAGGACCAAAAUGACCAGGGUGCUUUUCAGACUAGCUGCUCAUCAGCAACAAAAUACAUCCAUUUGGGCAAGUCACAUUCGGGCAUAAACAACAGGGGGAGCAGUCUCGCAGCAACUAACAACCAGGAAAAAGAGCAACUUUUUCACACUGGAUGUACGACGUCCUCGCUCUAUAUAGCAGUGAUCAAAUUCACAACAAGGCAACUGGAAAUGUGAAUGGCACCCUGCUGUCUGCGUAGGGACUGUGGUGUCAGGACACAGGAAGUGUGGAAUCACACUUCCGAGAUUCAUCCUGAACCCGUUUUAAGGUCUCGUCUGGAAAGCGCCCAGGCUCAAACUAUCCUACUUCGGACACAUGACCCAGCUCCCUUGAGAAGUCCACAAUGCUGGGAAAAGAGGCAGGAAAGAGAAGAAGAGGAGGACCAGCAACAAAGUGGAUGGACUCGAUCACGACAGCAAUGAAUGCACCACUGAGAGACCUUAAAGGCCAAGUUGAAGACAGAUCAUCCUGGAGAGACUCUAUCUAUGUGGUCGCUAAGAGUUGACUUGACAGCACUUAAACAAUCAAUCAGUCAGUCUUGGGGCUUGACUUGCUUUGCAGGGCUGUUGGGAAGGUGAAAUGGUGGUGCUCACCGUUCGGGCAUGCAGCUAAUUGGGAAACCUUUUUACUGGAACUGCUCCCGGGAAAUGGGCAGGAACCCCGAGCUACAUUUUAGGCUUGUGUAGGGGAAUUAACUAGCUUCAAAUUCCACCUUCAGAAUAAGUUUGUUCAAUGUAUUGGUCACAGAAAGAAUUUACUGAAGUGGUUAGAGUUCAUAAUAAAAUGAGUUUUGGAUUACAGAAAGAGAAAAUAAUGGUUAAGAACAAUAAUAUUAAACUAGCAAGACCAACAAUGACUAAGGUACAGCUCUCAAGGUGUUAAUUUGGCUUGAGUUUUAGGUCUGAAUUAGGUUCCCUGAAGGCUGGCUAGAGAGAAACAAACAGAUUUGGAUUUCAGGAGAAAUGAGGGGAAAGGUAAGUAGAGAUAUCAAGGAUAGGGGUUAUAUACUACCACCUCACUCUUUCCGAGAGAAAUGCAUCAAAACCUUGCAGCUUAGUCUCUACCAAGAAGCUUUUCUUCUCCAGGGCAAGAAAGCAGGAGCAAGAAUCCAGAGACCAGCCAGGGGUCCAGGAUUCGCCAAAGGUAGAUCCAAAAAUGAAUGAGACUUCGCAGCCACAAGUGCUGAGCACACCGCUUUGAGAAAAGACAGUAUGGAGGUGUAAGUCAAGGCAGGACAAGAUGGAAGUGUCGAUGCCAAGACAUGGGAGAGAGAAUGGUGCUUCUGAGGAAUGCAGAACGCACUGUUGACCAAGGAGACAGACGGAUGGAUGGUGUCUUCACCAAUUAGAGGCACAUUCUCACCUGGGGGCAUUAUGCUAAAGUCGCUUACAAAGGCAAGCAAAAGAGACAAGGCCAUUGUGCUAUUCAAAACUGAGGAGUGGACUUCUUGGAGAAAAACUAGGGAAGGUCUGGAAGGACCCCUGGAGGAAAAGGCAAGUUUCCUUCUGCAUUAGAGUUUCUUUGUCUCCUGUCUCUUCAGCUAAAAUGUAAACCAGCCAGCUUCCUUUGGCCCUGAGUCAGCCAUUAACCACUUUUCAACAGAAGUUCUCAAAGUGGUUUACAUAGAUAUCAAUCCAUCAAUCAAUCAAUCAAUCAGUGUUUGACUAACAAGCAGAAGGUUGCCGGUUUGAAUCCCCACUGGUACUAUAUUGGGCAGCAGCGAUAUAGGAAGAUGCUGAAAGGCAUCAUCUCAUACUGCGCAGGAGAUGGGCCAUGGUAAACCCCUCCUGAAUUCUACCAAAGAAAGCCACAGGGCUCUGUGGGCGCCAGGAGUCAAAAUCGACUUGAUGACACACUUUACCUUUACUUUAUGACAAAUAUAUAUAAACUGCUUUUCAAUAGAAGUUCCCAAAGUGGUUUACAUAGAUACAAAUCAAUCAAUCAAACAUGCUCCUUAGAUGUGGAGAUGACCUGUUGCUUUCCCAUCACUCCUUCCUGAGGAGGUGCUGCCUUGAAUUGAUCUGCUGUGCCCACACAGGGAAAAGACUGGCCUAGUCUUUCAAGAAUAGCUCUGGGUAAACUCACAUCUAGCCACCUGCCUAGAGAGCAGGAGGCUGUUGGUUUGAAUCCCUGCUGGUGUGUUUGGGCAACUCUAUAUCAGGCAGCAGCGAUAUAGUAAGGUGCUGAAAGGCAUCAUCUCAAACUGUGCUGGAGGAGGCAAUGGUCAACUCCUCCUGUAUUCUACCAAAGACAACCACAGCGCUCUGUGGUUGCCAGGAGUAGACACCGACGCGACCGCACAACCUUUCCUAACUCGCGUCUACUCCAGCUUCCCACCUGUGAGUCAUCAGGGGGUUGACAGCGAGGGGAGGUUCUCCUGCAGUUUUGUGCUUUGAACUUGACCUAGGAGGUCCUUCGCCCAGGCCCUUUGUGUUUGCUACAGGCAAAACACAAUGCAGAUCUCAUGUCCCCAUGAAAUCCAGAAUGAUAACUACCAGCUUGUCCUUCCAGAUAAAGGCGGGCGGAGGAUUCACGAGGAAACUCCCCAAAAGGUUCUCUUUGUAACAACGUUGACACCAUUAUCUUUCCAAGGCUUCCCAAGCAGGGAGCCUCCAGAUGUUGCUGAACUCAAACUCCCAUCAGCCUCAGCUGCAAUCUAUUACAGAAUACACACUGUACUGUGUGGGUCACACCUUUCUUGGAAUAUUAUGUCCAGUUUUAUGGAACAUAUGGUAUUGUCAUUUUAUACACUUGACAUUUUCUCUAGGCAUACAGGUUCAGAGAUUCUCUUAUGUGUGUAAAUUACGUUAUAUAGAUUUUCCGUGAAAAAGAUAACCAAGGUGGAAUCCAUCUGUUCUUCAGAAGCUGCUCUGGCUUUGUUUAGGUGACUUUGCAUGGUGUCUGCUUCUGAACUAUUUAUUUUCGAAUCGUUCAUUUUAAGCAUAUUAUAGUGUCUAACCGCCCAUUAUUUGUAUUUUUUAUCUUGCUAAAGUUGCACAAUAAAUUUCUCAAUUGAUUUAAUAAAAAUCAUGCAGCCAAAACACCACACACUUCUGGUUGUCUUUUGGGGAGAUGCUUGGGAAACACUUAAAUUGCUGCCACUCAACUAUUUCAUAUCAGACGAUAUUAAACUGAUCACAAAGCAAUUGCCUCAUCCCUCUGCCAGUAGGCAUCACAAUCCCGUCCUUGUUGGCCUCCCCCCUUUUGACCAUAUAUGGUUUCUUUAAAAGCUCCUCUCAAUAUGGCCUGCCUCUUUCUGCUGUCACAAGGAGAGCAACCACAGCCCCUCCCACUUCUGCCCACAUCAUAAUACUCCACUGUCCUCUGAGCUCCAUAAAAGCAGCCCACCUUUGCUGAGCAGCUAAGUCUCCCUGGGGGGGGAGAGGGGAAACGGUUAAUGUUCCCCCUUUGCCCCCGUGGGAUGUGGGAGGGCGGCCGAAGUCCUGGGCUUUUUCCGCAAUCUCAGUCCCUGUAGGGGAUCCAGAUUUCUGGUAGAGGACGCCGAGCUGUCUCCCCUAGACCCCUGCAGGCUCCUUCGGGAGCUCCUACUAGCCACGACCGUCUGAUGUGCCCCUCUCGGGCAAAAGGGCUGAAGCGGGGUCUCCCCCUCCCUGUAAGAAGAAGCUCCCCAAGCAGCUCGAAGACCCAGCUCCCAAAGGCAUGGUCCUCUUGGUUGAGCCAGAGUAGCUCAAGCUGUGUCUGGAUGGGGUCAUCCAUUGGUGGUCCUGCCCCAACACAGAUUGACCAAGGCCCACUGUUUAACCUGGCCCUGCAGGCCUGGCUGGUUGCCGCUUUUUGGAGCCGAGAAGGAAUUUUCCCCUGGGAGGUCUCUGGAUCCCCAGGUUUUUUGCCUUCUCUGCACGGCCUUCCUCUUCAGCUCUGCAAGCGCCUUGGCUUGCCGCUGAAGACGAGUCAACCCGUGGGUCUUUCCCCCUCCCUCCCAUCCCCAAAUAAAAUAGAAAUUAAUCUGAA